rnacentral:rRNA from 1 species
GUUUAAUAGUAGAAUUAAUUUGUUUAUUUAGGAAUUAUUAAUAUUUAAAUUUAUUUUACUAAUUUGUUGGGGUGACCGAAAAACUUAUUUAACUUUUUUUUUUCUAUUCAUUUAUUUAUGUUUGGUUGAUCCAUUAUUUAUGAUUAAAAGAUUAAAU